AAUAGAUACCCAGGUAGUCCACCCCGUAAACGUUGGGAACUAGUUGUGGGGUCCUUUCCACGGAUUCCGUGACGCAGCUAACGCAUUAAGUUCCCCGCCUGGGGAGUACGGCCGCAAGGCUAAAACUCAAAGGAAUUGACGGGGACCCGCACAAGCGGCGGAGCAUGCGGAUUAAUUCGAUGCAACGCGAAGAACCUUACCAAGGCUUGACAUACACCGGAAACGGCCAGAGAUGGUCGCCCCGCAAGGUCGGUGUACAGGUGGUGCAUGGUUGUCGUCAGCUCGUGUCGUGAGAUGUUGGGUUAAGUCCCGCAACGAGCGCAACCCUCGUUCUAUGUUGCCAGCACGUAAUGGUGGGAACUCAUGGGAUACUGCCGGGGUCAACUCGGAGGAAGGUGGGGAUGACGUCAAAUCAUCAUGCCCCUUAUGUCUUGGGCUUCACGCAUGCUACAAUGGCCGGUACAAAGGGCUGCAAUACCGUGAGGUGGAGCGAAUCCCAAAAAGCCGGUCCCAGUUCGGAUUGAGGUCUGCAACUCGACUCA
rnacentral:rRNA from 1 species